GUAGGGAAUCUUCCACAAUGGACGAAAGUCUGAUGGAGCAACGCCGCGUGAGUGAAGAAGGUCUUCGGAUCGUAAAACUCUGUUGUUAGAGAAGAACGUGCAUGAUAGUAACUGAUCAUGUAAUGACGGUAUCUAACCAGAAAGCCACGGCUAACUACGUGCCAGCAGCCGCGGUAAUACGUAGGUGGCAAGCGUUAUCCGGAAUUAUUGGGCGUAAAGGGUGCGUAGGCGGCUUGUUAAGUUUAUGGUGAAAGCGUGGGGCUUAACCCCAUUAAGCCAUAGAUACUGGCAGGCUAGAGUGUAGAAGAGGGCAGUGGAAUUCCAUGUGUAGCGGUAAAAUGCGUAGAUAUAUGGAGGAACACCAGUGGCGAAGGCGACUUUCUGGACGAUGUCUGACGCUGAGGCGCGAAAGCUAGGGGAGCGAACGGGAUUAGAAACCCCUGUAGUCC
rnacentral:rRNA from 1 species